GAUGAACGCUGGCGGUGUGCUUAACACAUGCAAGUCGAACGAUGAAGCCCAGCUUGCUGGGUGGAUUAGUGGCGAACGGGUGAGUAACACGUUAGUAACCUGCCCUUGACUCUGGGAUAAGCCUGGGAAACUGGGUCUAAUACUGGAUAUGACUUCUCAUCGCAUGGUGGGGGGUGGAAAGAUUUAUUGGUCUUGGAUGGACUCGCGGCCUAUCAGCUUGUUGGUGAGGUAAUGGCUCACCAAGGCGACGACGGGUAGCCGGCCUGAGAGGGGCACCGGCCACACUGCGCCUGAGACACGGCACAGCCUACUCCGGGAGGCAGCAGUGCGGAAUAGUGCACAAUGGGAGCAAGCCUGAUGCAGCGACGCCGCGUGAGGGAUGACGGCAUUCGGGUUGUAAACCUCUUUCCGUAGGGAAGAAGCGAGAGUGACGGUACCUGGAGAAGAAGCGCCGGCUAACUACGUG
rnacentral:rRNA from 1 species